UAUCUGGGAUGUCACACCCUAAAAAAUACCCCUCGGACAAGUAUAAAUGUCUUCCUUUCUCAGGAAGAUAGAACAAAGUUGAAAUUGAGGCAAUAGUGAAAAGUGUUUACCCUGUUUGUCGAGUUUAAUUUUCUUGAGAUCAGAAGAGAGUAAGUAGUUUAGAAACUACAAUCAUUUCUGCAAAAAAAUGUGUAUAUAUCAACUGAGUAAAGUACUUUCUAACAGGAAAAACACCAGGAUUAAGUCAGACAUGCAUGAAUUAGAUGGAUCUUCAAAAUAAGCAUCCUGCCAUCUGCCCUCUAUUUUGUAAUUGGUUUUGUUCCAAAGCCUUUAAUUU